AAAAGGAAGUGAUUCCGGCGGAGGAUGGGCAUGCGGCGCAUUAGCUGGUUGGCGGGGUAACGGCCCACCAAGGCGACGAUGCGCAGGGGUUCUGAGAGGAAGGUCCCCCACACUGGUACUGAGACACGGACCAGACUCCUACGGGAGGCAGCAGUGAGGAAUAUUGGUCAAUGGGCGGGAGCCUGAACCAGCCAAGUCGCGUGAGGGAAGACGGUCCUAUGGAUUGUAAACCUCUUUAGGCGGGGAGCAAUGCCGGGCACGCGUGCCCGGAGGGAGAGUACCCGCAGAAUAAGCAUCGGCUAACUCCGUGCCAGCAGCCGCGGUAAUACGGAGGAUGCGAGCGUUAUCCGGAUUUAUUGGGUUUAAAGGGUGCGUAGGCGGAUUUUUAAGUCAGCGGUAAAAUGUCCGGGCUCAACCCGGGCCGGCCGUUGAAACUGGGGAUCUUGAGUGGGCGAGAAGUAUGCGGAAUGCGUGGUGUAGCGGUGAAAUGCAUAGAUAUCACGCAGAACUCCGAUUGCGAAGGCAGCAUACCGGCGCCCGACUGACGCUGAGGCACGAAAGCGUGGGGAUCGAACAGGAUUAGAUACCCUGGUAGUCCACGCAGCAAACGAUGAAUGCUAGUUGUCCGGUUCUUUGGGACUGG
rnacentral:rRNA from 1 species